CGGCGUGCCUAAUACAUGCAAGUCGAGCGAAUGGAUUAAGAGCUUGCUCUUAUGAAGUUAGCGGCGGACGGGUGAGUAACACGUGGGUAACCUGCCCAUAAGACUGGGAUAACUCCGGGAAACCGGGGCUAAUACCGGAUAACAUUUUGAACCGCAUGGUUCGAAAUUGAAAGGCGGCUUCGGCUGUCACUUAUGGAUGGACCCGCGUCGCAUUAGCUAGUUGGUGAGGUAACGGCUCACCAAGGCAACGAUGCGUAGCCGACCUGAGAGGGUGAUCGGCCACACUGGGACUGAGACACGGCCCAGACUCCUACGGGAGGCAGCAGUAGGGAAUCUUCCGCAAUGGACGAAAGUCUGACGGAGCAACGCCGCGUGAGUGAUGAAGGCUUUCGGGUCGUAAAACUCUGUUGUUAGGGAAGAACAAGUGCUAGUUGAAUAAGCUGGCACCUUGACGGUACCU
rnacentral:rRNA from 1 species